UACGAGGGGAGCAAGCGUUGUUCGGAUUUACUGGGCGUAAAGGGCGCGUAGGCGGCACUGCAAGUCAGUUGUGAAAUCUCCGGGCUUAACCCGGAAAGGUCAACUGAUACUGCAGGGCUAGAGUGCAGAAGGGGCAACUGGAAUUCUCGGUGUAGCGGUGAAAUGCGUAGAUAUCGAGAGGAACACCUGCGGCGAAGGCGGGUUGCUGGGCUGACACUGACGCUGAGGCGCGAAAGCCAGGGGAGCGAACGGG
rnacentral:rRNA from 1 species